rnacentral:rRNA from 1 species
GACGAACGCUGGCGGCGUGCUUAAUACAUGCAAGUCGAACGGAAAGGCCCUUCGGGGUACUCGAGUGGCGAACGGGUGAGUAACACGUGGGUGAUCUGCCCUGCACUUUGGGAUAAGCCUGGGAAACUGGGUCUAAUACCGAAUAUGAUCAUCGGCUUCAUGGUCGGUGGUGGAAAGCUUUUGCGGUGUGGGAUGGGCCCGCGGCCUAUCAGCUUGUUGGUGGGGUAAUGGCCUACCAAGGCGACGACGGGUAGCCGGCCUGAGAGGGUGACCGGCCACACUGGGACUGAGAUACGGCCCAGACUCCUACGGGAGGCAGCAGUGGGGAAUAUUGCACAAUGGGCGCAAGCCUGAUGCAGCGACGCCGCGUGAGGGAUGACGGCCUUCGGGUUGUAAACCUCUUUCAGCACAGACGAAGCGCAAGUGACGGUAUGUGCAGAAGAAGGACCGGCCAACUACGUG